UUACGGCUAUAUCACGUUGAAAAACCUGCUCUCGCACGAUCACCGAAGUUAAGCAACGUUGAGGGUGGUCAGUACCUAGAUAGGUGACCGAUUAGGAAUACGAGGUACUA